UACAAAGGAAUUGACGGGGCCGCGACAAGCGGUGGAGCAUGUGGUUAAUUCGACGCAACGCGAAGAACCUUACCAGGGCUUGACAUCCCCUGACCGCGUAUGAAAGUACGUUUUCACCCUCGGGUGACAGGGAGACAGGUGGUGCAUGGUUGUCGUCAGCUCGUGUCGUGAGAUGUUGGGUUAAGUCCCGCAACGAGCGCAACCCCUACGUUUAGUUGCUAACGCGUGAAGGCGAGCACUCUAGACGAACUGCCGUUGACAAAAACGGAGGAAGGUGGGAUGACGUCAAAUCAUCAUGCCCCUUAUGUUCUGGGCUACACACGUGCUACAAUGGCCGGUACAGACGGACGCAAAGCCGCGAGGCGGAGCAAAUCCGAAAAAGCCGGUCUCAGUUCGGAUUGCAGGCUGCAAUUCGCCUGCAUGAAGUCGGAAUCGCUAGUAAUCGCAGGUCAGCAUACUGCGGUGAAUACGUUCCCGGGCCUU
rnacentral:rRNA from 1 species